UCUAAGUAAUAAAAUUAUAGAUCUACCCUGGAAGAGAACAUUUACUUGGAAAUUUCUUCAUGGUAUUUUGCUGGCUGUUUGUGCCAUCAUGGGGUUUGUGUGCAGUGGAGACUGUUCUUAGCUUAUCUGUGCUGUGAUCUUCCUGGAUUCCUGAAAAGUCAGUAUGACCAGGAGGGAUGACAAGAAAAGCCUUCUGGAGUUGUCAGCUCCUUUUUGCUGUCCAUUACAACAUGCUUCUUAUUGAAAACCACCCAACAAUAUUUACAAGAGAUGUGGAGGGAAAAGAAACUGAAAACCAAGAAUGGGAGUAGAUGAAAAACAGUAGAGCAACACUGUGCAUCAGGAAAUUGCCAGAAAUUUCUAAAGACGAGGCCUCAGGAAGAAUAUAUAAACUGUAUAAAAAAUUCCAGUAAACGAGAAAGUUCAGUUUCAAAGUGUCUUUUUUGGGGGG